rnacentral:rRNA from 1 species
AGGGUUUGAUCAUGGCUCAGAACGUACGCUGGCGGCACGCCUAACACAUGCAAGUCGAACGAAGUAGCAAUACUUAGUGGCAGACGGGUGAGUAACAUGUAGGUAUCUACCCUUUGGCCUGGAAUAACACGAGGAAACUUGUGCUAAUACCGGAUAAGUCUUUACGGAGAAAGCUUUAUGCACCAAUGGAUGAGCCUGCACUUGAUUAGUUUGUUGGUAGGGUAAUGGCCUACCAAGACUGUGAUCAAUAGCUGAUUUGAGAGGAUGAUCAGCCACAUUGGGACUGAGACACGGCCCAAACUCCUACGGGAGGCAGCAGUGGGGAAUCUUGCACAAUGGAGGAAACUCUGAUGCAGCGAUGCCGCGUGAGUGAAGAAGGCCCUUGGGUUGUAAAGCUCUUUCGUCGGGGAAGAAAAUGACUGUACCCGAAUAAGAAGGUCCGGCUAACUUCGUGCCAGCAGCCGCGGUAAUACGAAGGGACCUAGCGUAGUUCGGAAUUACUGGGCUUAAAGAGUUCGUAGGUGGUUGAAAAAGUUGGUGGUGAAAUCCCAGAGCUUAACUCUGGAACUGCCAUCAAAACUUUUCAGCUAGAGUUUGAUAGAGGGAAGCAGAAUUUCUAGUGUAGAGGUGAAAUUCGUAGAUAUUAGAAAGAAUACCAAUUGCGAAGGCAGCUUUCUGGAUCAAUACUGACACUGAGGAACGAAAGCAUGGGUAGCGAAGAGGAUUAGAUACCCUCGUAGUCCAUGCCGUAAACGAUGUGUGUUAGACGUUGGAAAUUUAUUUUCAGUGUCGCAGUGAAAGCGAUAAACACACCGCCUGGGGAGUACGACCGCA